rnacentral:SRP_RNA from 1 species
GCCGGGUGUGGUGGUGCACACCUGUAAUCCCAGCUACUCAGGAGGCUGAGGCAGGAGAAUCACUUGAACCCAGGAGGCAGAGGUUGCAGUGAGCCGAGAUUGUGCCAUUGCACUCCAGCCUAGGCAACAGAGUGAGACUCUGUCUCAA